rnacentral:rRNA from 1 species
GACGGAGGGCGCAAGCGUUGUUCGGAAUUACUGGGCGUAAAGCGCGCGCAGGCGGCUAUCCAAGUCAGUGGUGAAAGCCCGGAGCUCAACUCCGGAACUGCCAUUGAAACUGUUUAGCUUGAGGACGAGAGAGGUGAGUGGAAUUCCCAGUGUAGAGGUGAAAUUCGUAGAUAUUGGGAAGAACACCGGUGGCGAAGGCGGCUCACUGGCUCGUAUCUGACGCUCAGGCGCGACAGCGUGGGGAUCAAACAGG